rnacentral:tRNA from 1 species
GUGGGCAUAGUUCAGUUGGUAGAGCGCCAGAUUGUGGUUCUGGUUGUCAAGGGUCACUUUUACUUUCUUUUCCUACA